GACGAACGCUGGCGGCGUGCUUAACACAUGCAAGUCGAACGGAAAGGCCCUAGCUUGCUGGCGUACUCUAGUGGCGAACGGGUGAGUAACACGUGGGUGAUCUGCCCUGCACUUCGGGAUAAGCCUGGGAAACUGGGUCUAAUACCGGAUAGGACCGCACUUUGGUUUGUGUGCUGGAGAGGUUUUUCUGGGGUUGGGUGAGCUCGCGGGCUAUCGGUUUGUUGGUGGGGUGAUGGCCUAUCAAGACGGCGCCGGGUAGCCGGCCUGAGAGGGUGGACGGGCACACUGGGACUGAGAUAAGGCCCAGAAGCCGACGGGAAGAAGCAGUGGGGAAUAUUGCACAAUGGGAGACAACCAGAUGCAGCGAAGCCGCGUGGGGGAUGAAGGCCUUGGGGUUGUAAACGCAUUUCGCUAGGGACGAAGCUUUUUGUGACGGUACCUGGAGAAGAAGCACCGGCUAACUACGUG
rnacentral:rRNA from 1 species